GUGAGCGCAUCUUCGGGAUGAGCGGCGGACGGGUGAGUACGCGUGAGAAUGUGCCCUUCUCUACGGAAUAGCCACUGGAAACGGUGAGUAAUACCGUAUACGCCCUCAGGGGGAAAGAUUUAUCGGAGAAGGAUCAGCCCGCGUUAGAUUAGGUAGUUGGUGGGGUAACGGCCUACCAAGCCUACGAUCUAUAGCUGGUUUUAGAGGAUGAUCAGCCACACUGGGUCUGAGACACGGCCCAGACUCCUACGGGAGGCAGCAGUAGGGAAUCUUGGACAAUGGGGGCAACCCUGAUCCAGCCAUGCCGCGUGAGUGAAGAAGGCCCUAGGGUCGUAAAGCUCUUUCGCCUGUGAUGAUAAUGACAGUAGCAGGUAAAGAAACCCCGGCUAACUCCGUGCCAGCAGCCGCGGUAAUACGGAGGGGGUUAGCGUUGUUCGGAAUUACUGGGCGUAAAGCGCGCGUAGGCGGAUUGGAAAGUUGGGGGUGAAAUCC
rnacentral:rRNA from 1 species